GCUGAACUGGCUGCAUCAGGGAGAAAUUUCAUCUCCCAGAAGGGUGUUGCUCAUCGUUUCUUCCCGGAAACAUCUGCAGAGACUAGCUUUUCAGGCUAAGGUAUCCUCCAUGAUGUUACCAUUGCAAGGUGCCCAGAUGCUGCAGAUGCUGGAGAAAUCCUUGAGGAAGAGCCUCCCAGCAUCCUUAAAGGUGAUAAUGGAAAAUUCUGAGAGGAGUAAAGAAGACAAACUUGAUGUGAAAGAGGAGGGAAAGGGACUGAUAUUUAUGAUGCACCUAUUUUGAGCCAGGCACUAUUUCAUGUUUUCUCUCAUUUAGUAUGCCUUACCUCUCUACAAGAUGUUUACUGUCAUGUCCAUGUUGCUGUUAAGAA
rnacentral:lncRNA from 10 species